AUCACUUCUCAGCCUUUUGGCUAAGAUCAAGUGUAAAAUAACUAAAGUAAUGCAACUGGAAUUUUUGGUAACACAAAGGAUAAAUGCAUAAAUGGAUGGCUACCUCGUUCUCCAUGUUGUGAUUGUUUUACAUUGCAUGCCUGUAUGAGAGCAUCUCAUGAAUU
ensembl:snRNA U2 U2 spliceosomal RNA